GUAGGGAAUAUUGCGCAAUGGACGAAAGUCUGACGCAGCGACGCCGCGUGAGUGAUGAAGGCCUUAGGGUCGUAAAGCUCUGUUGAAUGGGAAGAAAAAAAUGACGGUACCAUUCGAGGAAGGACCGGCUAACUUCGUGCCAGCAGCCGCGGUAAUACGAGGGGUCCUAGCGUUGUUCGGAAUCAUUGGGCGGAAAGGGUGUGUAGGUGGCCAUGUAAGUCAGGUGUGAAAGCCCCGGGCUCAACCCGGGAAGUGCACUUGAUACUGCGUGGCUUGAGUACCGAAGAGGGUAGUGGAAUUCCAGGUGUAGUGGUGAAAUACGUAGAUAUCUGGAGGAACACCGGUGGCGAAGGCGGCUACCUGGUCGAGUACUGACACUGAGACACGAAAGCAUGGGGAUCAAACAGGAUUAGAAACCCCUGUAGUCC
rnacentral:rRNA from 1 species